rnacentral:lncRNA from 1 species
AGAGCCAUGGUUGCUUUCAGGGAAGCUGGGAAAAGAAACAUUCACAGAAAAACUGGACAUGAUGAUACAGCGCCAUGUGCAAUUUUGAAAAGUAUGGAUAGUUUUAGCUUUCUCCAACACCCAGUCCACCAGAGGAGCUUAGAGAUUCUGCAGAGAUGCAAGGAAGAGAAGUACACCUGACAACCCCAGACCUGAUUGUAUGCCAGCUACAUAUGGAUCUUGAAUAGGAGGGCACCAGUUUCAGCAUAGGCUGCAUGAAGAAAUUGUGUGUCUAUGUGUGUUCACUUGCAAAUUUCUACUUUUGUGGACGUUGGAGCUCUUCCAUUAUUUUAUGUAUAACCCGGAAAAAUCCCAGAACACCUCUUUCUGAUCUCCAGGGCAUGAAUGCUCUAAAUGAAAAAAACCAACAUGAUACAUUUGAUAUUGCCUGGAAUGGCAGAACUGGGAUUCGCCAGAGCAGACUAUCAAGUGGCACCUCCUUGCUUGAUAAAGAUGGAAUAUUUGCUAAUUCAACUAGCAGCAAACUCCUGGAGAGAGCCCAUGGAAUUCUCACGUCAGUACUAAUCAGUAAUGUAAAUUGUUUUUUGUUUUUUGUUUUUUGUCUGGUUUAAAAUUUCUGGCAGAAAAAAAUGAAGAAGGAAGAUGGUGAAAUGUUAUUUUCAUGGGAAGAAUUUUGACUGAAACAAGACUCAAAGUUAUUUAGGUAGCGUUUACAGCCAUGAAUCUCAUGUGUUAUAAAGCUUGUGUUUUUGUU